rnacentral:rRNA from 1 species
UACAGAGGUCUCAAGCGUUGUUCGGAUUCAUUGGGCGUAAAGGGUGCGUAGGCGGCGCGGUAAGUCGGGUGUGAAAUCUUGAAGCUUAACUCCGAAACUGCAUUCGAUACUGCCGUGCUUGAGGACUGGAGAGGAGACUGGAAUUUACGGUGUAGCGGUGAAAUGCGUAGAUAUCGUAAGGAAGACCAGUGGCGAAGGCGGGUCUCUGGACAGUUCCUGACGCUGAGGCACGAAGGUCAGGGGAGCAAACGGG